UGUUGGUCUUCAACGAGGAAUGCCUAGUAAGCGCGAGUCAUCAGCUCGCGUUGACUACGUCCCUGCCCUUUGUACACACCGCCCGUCGCUCCUACCGAUUGAAUGGUCCGGUGAAGUGUUCGGAUCGCGGCGACUGGGGCGGUUCGCCGCCCCCGACGUCGCGAGAAGUCCAUUGAACCUUAUCAUUUAGAGGAAGGAGAAGUCGUAACAAGGUUUCCGUAGGUGAACCUGCGGAAGGAUCAUU
rnacentral:rRNA from 1 species